rnacentral:rRNA from 1 species
CUAGGGAGUCAGUUCGGCUGGAUUUGGAUACAGGUGUUGCAUGGCUGUCGUCAGCUCGUGUCGUGAGAUGUCGGGUUAAGUCCUUUUAACGAGCGCAACCCUCAUUGCAUGUUAAUUUUUCAUGCGAGACUGCCCUGGUUAACAGGGAGGAAGGUGGGGAUGACGUCAAGUCAGCAUGGCCCUUACACCUUGGGCUACACACGUGUUACAAUGGCCGGUACAAUAAGUCGCAAUACCGUAAGGUGGAGCUAAUCUAUAGAAAACCCGGUCCCAGUUCGGAUUGGGGGCUGAAACUCGCCCCCAUGAAGUCGGAAUCGCUAGUAACCGUGAAUCAGCACGUCACGGUGAAUACGUUCCCGGGUCUU